AUUGAACGCUGGCGGCAUGCCUUACACAUGCAAGUCGAACGGCAUCGCGGGAAAGCUUGCUUUCCUGGCGGCGAGUGGCGAACGGGUGAGUAACACAUCGGAACGUACCGGCUAGUGGGGGAUAACCCGUCGAAAGACGGGCUAAUACCGCAUACGCUCUUCGGAGGAAAGCAGGGGACCUUUGGGCCUUGCGCUGGCCGAGCGGCCGAUGUCCGAUUAGCUAGUUGGUGGGGUAAAGGCCUACCAAGGCGACGAUCGGUAGCGGGUCUGAGGGGACGAUCCGCCACACUGGGACUGAGACACGGCCCAGACUCCUACGGGAGGCAGCAGUGGGGAAUCUUGGACAAUGGGGGCAACCCUGAUCCAGCAAUGCCGCGUGGGUGAAGAAGGCCUUCGGGUUGUAAAGCCCUUUCGGCAGGGAAGAAAUCGGCGGGGCGAAUAACCCUGCUGGAUGACGGUACCUGCAGAAGAAGCACCGGCUAACUACGUG
rnacentral:rRNA from 1 species